CAAGUCCUCCAACUCAUACGACCGUAUGGGUCGUUUGUCACUAUCCAUAAAUACGACCCACACGAGCGUUCUCUAAAUUAGCGCCCCUAUUGGCAACAGGAGGUAUGAUAAAUGAACUUUCGCCUAAAUGCAUUGUGGGUUUAUUUUAACAUGUUUGCUAUUUGCGUUUUGAAUUGUUUGAUUUAAACUCUCCCAGAUGUUCGUGGAUUUUGAUGAUAUGGAUUUUUAGAUGACUUCGAGACAUGUACAGUUUUGCAGUUUCUUCAUAUCACAUACAUCUCCAGCUCCUACAACAACAUUCAGUGUCCAGCAGCUCUUUAUGAUGCUCUCUCUCUCUCUCUCUCUCUCUCUCUCUCUCUCUCUCUCUCUCUCUCUCUCUCUCUCUCUCUCUCUCUCUCUCUCUCUCUCAUUUUCCUUUCCUAUUUUUCUGAACUGUAAUUCAUAAAUAAGUCACACAUAUUUUUCUUUCUUUCUCUUGUUCAUCAUGGCAUAUUUUCACAGCUCAGAAUCAGAUUUUGAUCAGUUCUUGUAUUAACAGGGAACUUGUACUCGAAGCUCAACUUGAAGAAGUUUCCAGUGAAGAUGAAGUCCUUCAAAGGUUCGACACAGCUGAAAAGGAAGACCAUGGGCCUGUCAAACCUUGUUUGUGGAGAGGGAUGAAUUUGACCAUCUUGUGUGUUUACGGAGAAGACCAAAAGCUGCUAAGGCAGAUAUUUCCAGAGGUACAAACAGAGCGGAUGGUUGCAUGAUGGCCUCUUUCAGGUUUGUCAACUGAAUGUCUACUAGUGUGGCUCAGCAAGUUCCUGUCAUGAUCAGCCCUCUCCAAGAAAGCUGAAGAGCAAAAACACAAAGAACAUCAGUCCUGUUGGGGAUGAGGAAUGAACAUGGCUCUAUUGUGCCCAAACAGAAAAGAGUGAAAAGUCCUAGAAUGAACAAAUCAUCAGGGCAUCAUUUCUGGAAUUUGGGCAGAAAAUGACUGAAUAUGAAAGACUGCAGUAGAAGGAAAGCUGGUACUGAGAACAUUUGUCUUCACUCCAGACUAAAGAGAAGCGGGUCUGAGGCCAGAGAUGGAGGAGUCAGUGGUCACCAAAUGCAGCGCUGCAGCCUGAAACUGUGAAGACUGAAUUCCCAAACAGCUGUGUGACUGCACAGAUGUUACGGCCAUAAAAGAAACUUCACAACUGAGAGCCCAUACCUCCAACAACCUUCAACAGGAAUCAAUGGACAUCUACGCAAGGUUUUUCUUUUGUUGAGGACCGUCAGAGACUCCAGCCACACGAGCCAUGGAUUGCUCUCAACAUCACCAUCAGACAGACAUUAUCACAGAACCAGCACCAGCAGACUGCAAAACAAGUUCCUUCAACAGGCAAUCAGACUGAACUGAACUCGUACCAGUAACACCACACACACACACACACACACACACACACACACACAUACACACACCAGCAGCCUCAUACUGUGUGCACUGCACUCUAUCAGCUACACUGACUGGACUCUGACUCACUAUUAUUCUGCAACCUGAUAUUCUGUUUGCACUAAUUCAUACUGUACUGAAAGUGAAAGUGACGUGACAUACAGUCAAGUAUGGUGACCCAUACUCAGAAUUUGUGCUCUGCAUUUAACCCAUCCGAAGUGCACACACACAGAGCAGUGAACACACACACACUGUGAACACACACCCGGAGCAGUGGGCAGAGGUAUAUCUACAGUAUACAGUGAUUGUUGUUAAUUGUUUUCAUUUUGUUCUCUCUGUAUAGUAUAGUAUUGCACUAUAUUUUCUACCUGUAUUGAGCUCUUAUGUAUACGGUUUAUAUUUUUGAUACUGUAUAUGUGUUGCAAAUAUAUUCAGUACUUGUCAUGCUGCAGUUUGCAGAAAAGCAUUUUACCACCUGUAUACUUGCAUUCAUGGUAUUGUGAUAAUAAAAUGAUUUGAUUUGAA